rnacentral:rRNA from 1 species
GAUGAACGCUGGCGGCAUGCCUAAUACAUGCAAGUCGAACGAGAGGAAGGAAAGCUUGCUUUCCUGAAUCUAGUGGCGAACGGGUGAGUAACACGUAGGUAACCUGCCCAUGUGCCCGGGAUAACUUCUGGAAACGGAUGCUAAAACCGGAUAGGUAGCAGACAAGCAUUUGACUGCUAUUAAAGUGGCCUUGGCCAUGAACAUGGAUGGACCUGCGGUGCAUUAGCUGGUUGGUGAGGUAACGGCCCACCAAGGCGACGAUGCAUAGCCGGCCUGAGAGGGCGGACGGGCCACAGUUGGGACUGGAGACACGGACCCAAACUCCUACGGGAGGCAGCAGGUAGGGUAAUUUUUCGUACAAGUCGGGGGAACCCUGGAACGAGACAA